rnacentral:rRNA from 1 species
AGUGAACGCUGGCGGUAGGCCUGACACAUGCCAGUCGAACGGCAGCACAGUAAGAGCUUGCUCUUACGGGUGGCGAGUGGCGGACGGGUGAGGAAUACAUCGGAAUCUACUUUUUCGUGGGGGAUAACGUAGGGAAACUUACGCUAAUACCGCAUACGACCUACGGGUGAAAGCAGGGGAUCUUCGGACCUUGCGCGAUUGAAUGAGCCGAUGUCGGAUUAGCUAGUUGGCGGGGUAAAGGCCCACCAAGGCGACGAUCCGUAGCUGGUCUGAGAGGAUGAUCAGCCACACUGGAACUGAGACACGGUCCAGACUCCUACGGGAGGCAGCAGUGGGGAAUAUUGGACAAUGGGCGCAAGCCUGACCCAGCCAUACCGCGUGGGUGAAGAAGGCCUUCGGGUUGUAAAGCCCUUUUGUUGGGAAAGAAAAGCAGCAGGUUAAUACCCCGCUGUUCUGACGGUACCCAAAGAAUAAGCACCGGCUAACUUCGUG